AACGUACGCUGGCGGCACGCCUAACACAUGCAAGUCGAACGCAGUAGCAAUACUGAGUGGCAAACGGGUGAGUAUAAUGUGGGAAUCUGCCUUUUGGUUCGGAAUAACACGAGGAAACUUGUGCUAAUACCGGAUAAGCCCUUACGGGGAAAGUUUUAAUGCCAAAAGAUGAGCCCGCACUUGAUUAGCUAGUUGGUAAGGUAAUGGCUUACCAAGGCAACGAUCAAUAGCUGUUCUUAGAGGAAGACCAGCCACAUUGGGACUGAGACACGGCCCAAACUCCUACGGGAGGCAGCAGUGGGGAAUCUUGCACAAUGGGGGAAACCCUGAUGCAGCGAUGCCGCGUGAGUGAAGAAGGCCCUUGGGUUGUAAAACUCUUUCGUCGGGGAAGAAAAUGACUGUACCCGAAUAAGAAGGUCCGGCUAACUUCGUGCCAGCAGCCGCGGUAAUACGAAGGGACCUAGCGUAGUUCGGAAUUACUGGGCUUAAAGAGUUCGUAGGUGGUUAAAAAAGUUGAUGGUGAAAUCCCAAGGCUCAACCUUGGAACUGCCAUCAAAACUUUUUAGCUAGAGUGUGAUAGAGGAAAGUGGAAUUUCUAGUGUAGAGGUGAAAUUCGUAGAUAUUAGAAAGAACAUCAAAAGCGAAGGCAACUUUCUGGAUCAUUACUGACACUGAGGAACGAAAGCAUGGGUAGCGAAGAGGAUUAGAUACCCUCGUAGUCCAUGCCGUAAACGAUGUGUGCUAGACGUUGGAAACUUAGUUCUCAGUGUCGCAGCGAAAGCAUUAAGCACACCGCCUGGGGAGUACGACCGCAAGGUUAAAACUCAAAUGAAUUGACGGGGACCCGCACAAGUAGUGGAGCAUGUGGUUUAAUUCGAAGAUACGC
rnacentral:rRNA from 1 species